AGUGAACGCUGGCGGUAGGCCUAACACAUGCAAGUCGAACGGCAGCACAGUAAGAGCUUGCUCUUACGGGUGGCGAGUGGCGGACGGGUGAGGAAUACAUCGGAAUCUACUUUUUCGUGGGGGAUAACGUAGGGAAACUUACGCUAAUACCGCAUACGACCUACGGGUGAAAGCAUGGGAUCUUCGGACCUUGCGCGAUUGAAUGAGCCGAUGUCGGAUUAGCUAGUUGGCGGGGUAAAGGCCCACUAAGGCGACGAUCCGUAGCUGGUCUGAGGGGAUGAUCAGCCACACUGGAACUGGGACACGUUCCAGACUCCACGGGAGGCAGCAGUGGGGAAUAUUGGACAAUGGGCGCAAGCCUGAUCCAGCCAUACCGCGUGGGUGAAGAAGGCCUUCGGGUUGUAAAGCCCUUUUGUUGGGAAAGAAAAGCAGCAGGUUAAUACCCCGCUGUUCUGACGGUACCCAAAGAAUAAGCACCGGCUAACUUCGUG
rnacentral:rRNA from 1 species